UACGUAGGGUGCAAGCGUUGUCCGGAAUUAUUGGGCGUAAAGAGCUCGUAGGCGGCUUGUCACGUCGACUGUGAAAACCCGGGGCUCAACUCCGGGCCUGCAGUCGAUACGGGCUGGCUAGAGUUCGGUAGGGGAGAUCGGAAUUCCUGGUGUAGCGGUGAAAUGCGCAGAUAUCAGGAGGAACACCGGUGGCGAAGGCGGAUCUCUGGGCCGACACUGACGCUGAGGAGCGAAAGCGUGGGGAGCGAACAGG
rnacentral:rRNA from 1 species